GGAAAAGAAGAAAGCAGAAGAAGCUCAGCGGGACCUCCUUCGAUAACAACGUCGUUUUAGCAACAGAGGAUUAAACUGUUGAAAAACUGUUGAUGCAGUAGCGUGACAGAAACAAUGAAGGAAAUAACACGUGUUAGGAGGAGGCGAAAGAGCAUGGAGAUACCUCCUG